rnacentral:lncRNA from 14 species
UGAUACUGCUCUGUUGAAGAUGUGUCAAUUUGGAGUUACUCCUUUUGGUCACAGUGGAGAAAUAUUUUUGAAAGCUGAUAGAGAAACAUCAUACAGAAGCUAAAAUGCAUGAGAACUUGGAAUAAGGUGUGAAAGAAGGAUACAUCUUUCAGAAACAAUGAAGCUCCUACAAAUUCCUGAAAACUCAUAUCUGGGGCCUUUUCCUGCAAUUCUCUUGCACAAUGUACACAAGCAACAAAAG